ACCGCUCGCCGCGCCCGAAUCGUGCCAAAUUGGUAGUGAUCUCGGGGCGGGGCGUGACAUGAGUAGUCUAAUGUUGUUCCGGUUUUUGUUCUUGUGAACAUUGACAUCGAUUCGUUCCAAAUUUACACUCUCGGGGCAUAAUAGAACAAUAUAAUUAGGUUUUACGCUUUAUUAGAUAGAAUGAGAAAAAGUACCCGUUGCAAAGUUAUACUGUUAGGGUGCAACUGAGUAGUCUAAUGUUAUUCUGAUUUUUAUUCUUGUGAACGUUGACAUCGAUUCGUUCCAAAUUUACAAUCUCGGGGCAUAAUAGAACAAUAUAAUUAGGUUUUACUCUUUGUUCGAUAGAAUGCGAAAAAGUACUCGUUGUAAAGAUAUACUGUUAGGGCGCAACUGAGUAUUCUAAUGUUGAUCUGGUUUUGGUUCUUAUGAAUGUAGACAUCAAUUCAUUCCAAAUUUGCACUCUCGGGGCAUAAUAGAACAAUAUAAUUAGGUUUUACACUUUGUUCGAUAGAAUGAGAAAAAGUACUCGUUGUAAAGUUAUACUGUUAGGGCGCAACGAAGUAUUCUAAUGUUGUUCCGGUUUUGGUUCUUGUGAACGUUGACAUCGAUUCACUCAAAAUUUACACUCUCGGGGCAUAAUAGAACAAUAUAAUUAGGUUUUACUUUUUGUUCGAUCGAAUGAGAAAAAGCACUCGUUGUAAAGUUAUACNGUUUUUGUUCUUGUGAGCGUUGACAUCGAUUCGUUCCAAAUUUACACUCUCUAGGCAUAAUAGAACAAUAUAAUUAGGUUUUACGCUUUCUUCAAAAAAAUGAGAAAAAUUACUCGUUGCAAAGUUAUACAGUUAGGGCGCAACUGAGUAGUCUAAUGUUAUUCCGGUUUUUGUUCUUAUGAGCGUUGACAUCGAUUCGUUCCAAAUUUACAAUCUCUGGGCAUAAUAGAACAAUAUAAUUAGAUUUUACGCUUUCUUCGAUAAAAUGAGAAAAAGCACUCGUUGCAAAGUUAUUCUGUUAUGGCGCAACUGAGUUGUUUAAUGUUGUUCCGGUUUUUGUUCUUGUGAGCGUUGAUAUCGAUUCGUUCCAAAUUUACACUCUCUGGGCAUCAUAGAACAAUAUAAUUAGGUUUUACGAUUUUUUUUAUAAAAUGAGAAAAAUUACUCGUUGCAAAGUUAUACUGUUAUGGCGCAACUGAAGUGCCUAAUGUUGUUCCAGUUUUUGUUCUUGUGAGCGUUGACAUCGAUUCGUUCCAAAUUUACACUCUCUAGGCAUAAUAGAACAAUAUAAUUAGGCUUUACGCUUUCUUCGAUAAAAUGAGAAAAAGUACUCGUUGCAAAGUUAUACUGUUAGGGCGCAACAGAUUUGUCUAAUGUUGUUCCGGUUUUUGUUCUUAUGAGCGUUGACAUCGAUUCGUUCCAAAUUUACACUCUCUGGGCAUAAUAGAACAAUGUAAUUGGAUUUCACGCUUUUUUCGAUAAAAUGAGAAAAAGCACUUGUUGCAAAGUUAUUCUGUUAUGGCGCAACUGAG
rnacentral:lncRNA from 1 species